rnacentral:tRNA from 1 species
GGGGUUGUGGCUCAAUGGUAGAGCGCUUGCCUAGCAUGUGUGAGGCACUGGGUUCAAUUCUCAGCACCA